AAGUUUGUUGGAUACAGAAGCCUUCAAAAAGGAUUUGAUAUUCAGGAUUCCGUUGUACAUGUGUUAACUCUUCUACCAACUCCAGAUUUUAAUCCUCUUCUUGACUUAACUAGCCUCGACUUAAGCAAUACAUACUCGCCAAAAGAUUCAAGUUUGGAGGAUGGUUGUGUCACUAUCCAGCUGUAUCCACUGACACACACACAUCAUGUCAGCUUCUGGACACAGACACCUGUCAGCAUAGAACAAAUACAAAAAGUUGCUGACACAUUGUCAGCUGGGUUGGUGAGAAGUAUAGUUGAACUUGAACGGUUUACUCCCAGUGCAACAGAACCAAGGUUGAGUCAAACAUUAGAGCUGAACUACUCAGCCCAACAAUUCCCUCUUGGACCUAAAAAGUGUUUUGAGUUUCAUGGAGUUUUGGGCAAAUCCUUAGCUAACCUAUACUCUGUACAGCUAAGAUGACUGGCGUUUUACUAUUUAUUUUAACUUUUUUUUCUUAAAGAAACUAUAUUGCAAAAUGUACAGGUUGUACCACCUUUAAACAAUAAAAUUUAAGAUACGUUAUAAAAA